GUGAGGAAUAUUGGUCAAUGGGCGCAAGCCUGAACCAGCCAUGCCGCGUGCAGGAAGACGGUCCUAUGGAUUGUAAACUGCUUUUAUUUGGGAAUAAACUCCGGUACGUGUACCGGCCUGAAGGUACCAAAUGAAUAAGCACCGGCUAACUCCGUGCCAGCAGCCGCGGUAAUACGGAGGGUGCAAGCGUUAUCCGGAAUCAUUGGGUUUAAAGGGUCCGCAGGCGGUCUUAUAAGUCAGUGGUGAAAGCAUACAGCUCAACUGUAGAACUGCCAUUGAUACUGUAGGACUUGAAUUCGAUCGAAGUGGGCGGAAUGUGACAUGUAGCGGUGAAAUGCUUAGAUAUGUCACAGAACACCGAUAGCGAAGGCAGCUCACUAGGUCUGGAUUGACGCUCAGGGACGAAAGCGUGGGGAGCAAACAGGAUUAGAUACCCCUGUAGUCC
rnacentral:rRNA from 1 species